UUCAAAAGAACUUAACUAAUUAGUUUCUUGAAAUUAAGUCAAAUUCAGUUCCUAAACUUUGUCUAGGUCACACCUCUCAAAAGGGUACUCCUGGGCCAUUAGCUCAGGUGGUUAGAGCGCACCCCUGAUAAGGGUGAGGUCCCUGGUUCAAGUCCAGGAUGGCCCAUUCGGUGUUGGGGGUAUAGCUCAGUUGGUAGAGCGCCAGCUUUGCAAGCAGGAUGUCAGCGGUUCGAGUCCGCUUACCUCCACUGAUCGACCUCCUGAUAACGAAGCUAAAGGAGACUUUUAUGUGAUCUAGAAUUUGUUCUUAAAUGAAUGGAACCUAGCUUCUUGUCAAUAGAUCUAAUAACUUUUUAGUUUGAUUGAUAGGACGCUGGGCUCAUCCCUGCAAAAGAAAUUGCAGAGAAGUUCAGUAGAACCUUGACAACUGCAUAGGUGAGUCUGGAAAAAAAUAAAGCAUCUCAUGGAUGCAUUGUUUUUUGAAUCAAAUUUUUGUUUUUUUAUUAAUUAGGAAAACUAAAUUGUUUUAAAUGACGAUGUUUAAUUCUUGAGCAAGAGCCGAGACUCUAUAAUUCUCUUUUAUUGCAUUUUUAGCAAUAAGAGUUUGAUUCUUAAUUUUAUUCUUUAGGUGAAUUUUAUAGAUUAUCUAUAAAAUAAGUAGCCCAAUUAUUUAGCUUAAAAUUAAGAAAAAAGUGCUUAAAGCAUUAGCUUUAUAGAGAUUAAAUGGUCAAGCUACAA
rnacentral:tRNA from 1 species